rfam:Triticum aestivum genome assembly, contig: Triticum_aestivum_CS42_TGACv1_scaffold_158059_2DL
AUACUGCUCCCUCCGCCCGGAAGUACUUGUCGUAGAAAUGGAUACAAAUGGAUGUAUGUAGAACUAAAAUACAUCUAGAUAUAUCCAUUCCUCGGACAAGUAUUUCCGGACGGAGGAAGUAGUUU